rnacentral:tRNA from 1 species
GGCCUCGUAGCUCAGUUGGCUAGAGCGUUGGUUGUACUAAAGUCUUUCUCUUGCUGACAUGGAUUCGAAUCCCACCGAGGCUG